AUAAGAGAGGCAUUCCUAGGAGAAAGGGAGUGUUGAGUGGAGACUGCAGGCUACAGUCAUUUUUUUGGGAGGAGGCUUUGGAAACUGGUAGGCCCAGGAUAAAAAGGGGAACCAGCACUAGGAAGAGUGCUGAGGCCAAGGAGAAGCCCAGAUUGCUGAGCUGAGGGUCUCUGGGUUGGAAUCCAGAGAAGAGGGUGGGCCAGGGUUCCCCUACCAGUUACUGAGCAAGUGGUACUAGAGGUAGUGAGUGGGAAGAUUGCCUAGGAAUAUUGAGAAGCUAAAUCUUCCCUACAAGUGGGGGAGGGCACUGAUAGUAAUGUGGCUGGAGGGUUGAGCCACACAGAGGAUGCUGUGGUUCCUGAGGCUGUGAGAGGGACUGCAGAUAGACAUAGAGACAGACUGAUGGUGUGUGAGCUGUGGAUUGGAGGGGGCGUCAGCCUCAGCUAAUCCUCAGAGUACCAUGAGGAAAUGCCAGCCCAAUGGAGCGCCUGGAGGCCGGGCUCCCAUUGGGUAAAAGACUGUACGCACCCAGAACAAAAAGACCGUCAAAGAUGCCCUCCAGCAACACGAUCUUUGAAAAUUUAACAAAGUUAAAGAGCAUUUUGCCAUAUUAUACAUUCAGUCUGGCUCUGAAAAGAUACUCAAGAGCAGUGGAAAUCUGAGUCUUUAGCAAAGAUGAGUGACCAAUUCUAACUACAAGAAAGGCUCAUGGUAUUUCCAGUCCAUUCAGAAGUACGAAAUAUUAAAACUCUCAUCAGCUUUGCCUAGUAAGUAUUCCAGCCCAGUGUUUUAGACCUGUGAAAUUCAGAAAAGCAUCAGGACUUUGAUUCAGUUCACAUAAGCACCCCAAUCUAUGAACAUUUUGAGGUUUGUGCACCUCUGGAAGGUAGAGUAAGAAAUGAAGUAUAAUAGCAGACUUUGCUGACAUCUCUGCUAAUGGUCACCUGUUGAUCUUGGUAUCCAGAGUUCCUCCAUGUUACUUACAUUUAAUUCUGCAGACAUUUGUUAUAAUGGCCAGAAAAAAUGAGUCACAUUGGUGGUUUUAAUGAACAAUUUCCCAGUAUAAUAAAAACUGUAGUUUACUGAGUCAUAAUAACAAGAAUAAACAUGUGCCUCUGGGAAUUUCACCAAUUGUAAAGCUAAAUUUGACUUCUAAUGUUUGCAGAGAAUUUCUUGGAGGCAUUUCUUUGGUAAACGUUCUUUGUUCAAAGCUGACUAAUGUUUAUACAAAUAUCUUUUAAUACAAUGCUUAAUAUACCAGUGGCUGAACUGAGCCAAAAUAGUGGACAGUGUUUCAUGUGACCUUUGGGAAAUCAAAACAAAAGGAACCCAGAAUUUAGCUUGAUGAUGUAAACAGUAGACUAAGAGAAAAAUGCUCUAUUGUAAAGACACAAUGCAGAGAAACGUGCUCUCAGAAGUGAUUAGUUCUAGACUUGAGUGAAUUGGGGGGAAAACAUGUCUGAUGAAUUAAAUUGUCUGUUUUAGUUUUAAACCGAUUUCAACCAAUAAGGCACAACAAGACUUG